rnacentral:rRNA from 1 species
AUUGAACGCUGGCGGCAGGCCUAACACAUGCAAGUCGAACGGUAGCACAGAGAGCUUGCUCUCGGGUGACGAGUGGCGGACGGGUGAGUAAUGUCUGGGAAACUGCCCGAUGGAGGGGGAUAACUACUGGAAACGGUAGCUAAUACCGCAUAAUGUCGCAAGACCAAAGAAGGGGACCUUCGGGCCUCUUGCCAUCGGAUGUGCCCAGAUGGGAUUAGCUUGUUGGUGAGGUAAUGGCUCACCAAGGCGACGAUCCCUAGCUGGUCUGAGAGGAUGACCAGCCACACUGGAACUGAGACACGGUCCAGACUCCUACGGGAGGCAGCAGUGGGGAAUAUUGCACAAUGGGCGCAAGCCUGAUGCAGCCAUGCCGCGUGUGUGAAGAAGGCCUUCGGGUUGUAAAGCACUUUCAGCGGGGAGGAAGGCGAUACGGUUAAUAACCGUGUUGAUUGACGUUACCCGCAGAAGAAGCACCGGCUAACUCCGUG